rnacentral:tRNA from 1 species
AGGAAUGUGGCUCAGUGGAAAAGCAUCUGCUUUGCACCUAGAAGGUCUCAGGUUCAAUCCCCAGCAUCUCCA